GCGGUUUAGAGUUUCUAGUGGCAGUCAAGGGACUGUUGGUUUUAAAGCCUGGGAAGGGGGAAUGGUAAGAGGAUCUUGUUAGCUUCUCUUGUUAAUAAAUUUUAUGAAGGGAACAUCACUUUGCUUGCCACCUUCUUCUUUGACCACAAGAUGGCAGUGUUUCUGAGCUUUGCGGCCGUCGUAAUUUGGCACAAAAAGAAAUUGGGCAGAAUUGCUGUAGGGAAGUCAGAAAAAAGUGAUGUGGAAGAACCUUAUCAUGCGAAAGAAAACCAACUAGCAAGGAAAAAAUAUGCUGAUUGUUCAGAAAUUUGCAUUUCUGGAGGGAAACAACAUUUCAAAUGGAGUAUUUGGUUGAACCAGCCUAAGUUCUGAUUCUGGACAGGUGGAGUAGGCAAGAACCUGAGAAGGGUGUUGUGAACCAUAAUUGUUGAAAACAAAGUGAAGUUGAGCAGUUUUCUGGGAGUCUUAG
rnacentral:lncRNA from 1 species